rnacentral:rRNA from 1 species
UACGGAAGGCAGCAGUGGGGAAUAUUGCACAAUGGGCGCAAGCCUGAUGCAGCCAUGCCGCGUGUAUGAAGAAGGCCCUUCGGGUUGUAAAGUACUUUCAGUCGUGAGGAAGGUGUUAAGGUUAAUAACCUUAGCAAUUGACGUUAGCGACAGAAGAAGCACCGGCUAACUCCGUGCCAGCAGCCGCGGUAAUACGGAGGGUGCGAGCGUUAAUCGGAAUUACUGGGCGUAAAGGGCACGCAGGCGGUUAAUUAAGUUGGAUGUGAAAUCCCCGGGCUUAACCUGGGAAUGGCAUUCAAGACUGGUUAGCUAGGAGUCUUGUAGAGGGGGUAGAAUUCCAUGUGUAGCGGUGAAAUGCGUAGAGAUGUGGAGGAAUACCGGUGGCGAAGGCGGCCCCUGGACAAAGGCUGACGCUCAUGUGCGAAAGCGUGGGGAGCAAAC